rnacentral:rRNA from 1 species
GUUGAAGCCCGGACGCCAGUUCGGGUGGAGUCAUCGUUGAAAUACCACUCUGGUCACUUUGGACAUCUAACUUCGGCCCGUAAUCCGGGUCAGGGACAGUGCCUGAUGGGUAGUUUAACUGGGGCGGUUGCCUCCUAAAAAGUAACGGAGGCGCCCAAAGGUUCCCUCAGCCUGGUUGGCAAUCAGGUGUCGAGUGUAAGUGCACAAGGGAGCUUGACUGUGAGAGAGACAUCUCGAGCAGGGACGAAAGUCGGGACUAGUGAUCCGGCGGUACAUUGUGGAAUGGCCGUCGCUCAACGGAUAAAAGGUACCUCGGGGAUAACAGGCUGAUCUUGCCCAAGAGUCCAUAUCGACGGCAUGGUUUGGCACCUCGAUGUCGGCUCGUCGCAUCCUGGGGCUGGAGUAGGUCCCAAGGGUUGGGCUGUUCGCCCAUUAAAGCGGUACGCGAGCUGGGUUUAGAACGUCGUGAGAC